AUGUCGGUGGUGAGCGCCGCGCAUGGCGUGCUGGGUCCGCUGCUGGGGAAGCUCGCCGACCUGCUCGCCGGCAAGUUCGGCCGCGUGCGAGGCGUCCGCAAGGACAUCCUCUCUCUCCAGGCCGAGCUGACCAGCAUGCACGCCGCGCUCCAGGAGUACACCAUGCUCGAAGAUCCAGGCGUCCAGGUGAAGGCCUGGAUAUCGCUGCUCAGGGAGCUGGCCUAUGAUACCGAGGAUUGCAUCGACAAGUUCAUCCGCCACCUCGGCAAACACGGGCGUCGCGGCGGCUUCAAGGAAAUCUUCCGCGACACCACUCGCUUCCUCAGGACGCUCGAUUCUCGCUGUGGAAUUGCCGACCAGAUCGAGGAACUCAAGGCCCGCAUCAAGCAUGUCAAAGAGCUCAAGGAUAGUUACAAGCUGAGUGAGACUUCUUGCACCAAAACCGAGCAUGCGGCCGUGGAUCCUCGGUUGUGCGCUCUGUUUGCCGAGGAGGCACACCUUGUGGGCGUGAAGGGUCCAAGAGAUGAUCUUGUCAAGUGGAUGUUGACAGAAGAAACAAACAGCUCCACCAAGGAUCGUAAGGUGUUGUCAAUUGUUGGAUUUGGUGGAUUGGGAAAGACAACACUGGCAAAUGAGGUCUAUCGCAAGAUUGAAAGGCAUUUCGAUUGUCAGGCUUUUGUAUCGGUCUCACAAAAGCCAGUUAUAAAGAAAAUUAUCAAGGAUUUGAUAUACAAAGUGCCUUGCCCUGAUGAAUUCAGAAAAGAUAUUGAAAUUUGGGACGAAGCGACAUCCAUUGCAAAGCUAAGAGAACUGCUAAAGGAUAAAAGGUAUCUUGUCAUAGUGGAUGAUAUAUGGUCUACCCAAGCAUGGAGCAAUAUCAAGUGUGCUUUUCCAGACAAUAAUUGUUCUAGCAGAAUUAUAACUACUACACGAAUUAUUGAUGUGGCAAGAUCAUGUUGUCCUGGUAGUGAUGACCGUGUGUAUGAAAUGGCAGCCCUAAGUGAUCUUCACUCCAAAAGAUUGUUUCUCAAAAGAAUUUUUGGUUCUGAGGACCACUGCCCUGAUAUGCUGAAAGAAAGUUCAAAUGAAAUCCUGAAAAAAUGUGGAGGCCUACCAUUGGCAAUUGUCAGUAUAUCUAGUUUGUUAGCAAAUAGACCAGCAGUCAAGGAGGAGUGGGAGAAGAUUAGAAGAUCAAUUGGUUCUGCUCUGGAAAAUAACCAGAGUUUGGAGGGAAUGAGUAAGAUACUAUUACUUAGCUACAAUGAUCUUCCACCUAAUCUCAAGACAUGUUUAUUGUAUUUGAGUGUAUUCCCCGAGGAUUAUGUGAUUGAUCGAAAAAGGUUAGUGAGGCGGUGGAUAGCGGAAGGGUUUAUCUCUGAAGAGCGUGGACAAAGUCGGCAAGAAGUCGCCGAGAGAUAUUUCUAUGAGCUUGUCAACAAAAGCAUGGUACAGCUUGUGGACGUCGGCUAUGAUGGCAAGGCUCGUGCUUGCCGAGUCCAUGACAUGAUGCUAGAACUUAUUAUUUCAAAAUCAAAUGAAGAUAAUUUCAUCGUGGUAGUAGGUGGUGGCCAAACGACUUUGGGAAAUCGUCAAGGUUUUAUUCGGCGACUAUCGAUCCAGCACAUUGAUCAUGAGAUUGCACAUUUACUCGCACAAAAAGAUCUAAGCCAUGUUCGAUCUCUGACAGUAACAUCGUCAGCUUGCAUCAAACACUUACCUAGUCUUGGUAAAUUUGAAGCUCUACGUGUAUUGGAUUUUGAAGGUUGUUCUGGUUUAGAAGAGUAUGAUAUGAAAAGUAUUGGCAAAUUGCUCCAACUAAAGUACCUAAACUUUAGAGACACAGGAAUAUCAAAGCUACCUUCAGGGAUCGUGAUGCUAUGUGACCUAGAGACCCUAGAUUUUGGAUAUACAGGAGUGAAAGAGUUGCCAACUGGAUUCGUUCAGCUGACCAAACUACAACACGUAAUUGCUGGAAGUCGGACAACUAUACCAAACAGGAUUGGGAAUAUGAGGAACUUACAGGAGAUAUCAGGCUUUAGUAUUACCCAGAGUCCAGCAGAUGCCGUGGAGGAUCUUGGAAACCUACCAGGUUUGGAGGAAAUCGAUGUAGAUCUCGAUGGUGGAGAAUCAGACGAGUUCAGGAGGCAUGAAGAAAUGUUACUUUCCUCACUGUGCAAGCUUGGCAGCUGCAAGCUCCGGUUUUUACAGAUUACUAGGCACUGUGGUGGUUCCCUCGAGUUCUUAGAAUCUUGGACCCAACCGCCAGUUUCCCUUCAAGUAUUAUAUAUGUAUAGCAGCAACUACUAUUUCACGAAACUUCCAAAGUGGAUUGCUCCAGCACUCACCAGCCUUUCUUUCCUAGAGAUCAAUUUAGCUGAAUUAACAGAGGAGGGUCUGGUCACUCUUGGGGAGCUCCCAGCUUUACUUCGCCUUGAUCUGUGGUUCAAAAAAAGGCCUGAUGAUAGGGUUACAGUUCGAGGAUUCCCAAGUCUGAGGCAGUUUACCCUGUAUAGUAAUUAUGUGUCACCAUACGUUACAUUUGUCAAAGGGUCCAUGCCCAAGCUUAAGAAUCUUGAUUUUCUUAUCAAUGUGUCAGUGGCAAAAACAUAUGGCUUCUAUUUAGGCAUUGAGCAUCUCACAUGUCUUCAACAAGCAACGGCGAGGCUUGACAAUAGGGGCGUUACACCUUCUGAGAGAAAGGCUGCAGAGGCUGCGGUCAGGGCUGAAGCAGUUGCCCAUCCAAACCAUCCCACAAUUACUAUUUGUUGUACUGAAAAGGAAAAUGAAGAGACUGGUGGCGAGAAAAAAGAGAGCAGGGAAGAUGUUGACACUGAUGAGAAUUAA
rnacentral:rRNA from 1 species